UGCUAAAAUGAGUUCUUGCCU
rnacentral:siRNA from 1 species